CCUACGGGAGGCUGCAGUGGGGAAUAUUGGACAAUGGGCGAAAGCCUGAUCCAGCCAUGCCGCAUGUGUGAAGAAGGCCUUCGGGUUGUAAAGCACUUUCAGUGGGGAAGAAAGCCUUGGGGCUAAUACCCUCGAGGAAGGACAUCACCCACAGAAGAAGCACCGGCUAACUCCGUGCCAGCAGCCGCGGUAAUACGGAGGGUGCGAGCGUUAAUCGGAAUUACUGGGCGUAAAGCGCGCGUAGGCGGUCUGAUAAGCCGGUUGUGAAAGCCCCGGGCUCAACCUGGGGACGGCAUCCGGAACUGUCAGGCUAGAGUGCAGGAGAGGAAGGUAGAAUUCCCGGUGUAGCGGUGAAAUGCGUAGAGAUCGGGAGGAAUACCAGUGGCGAAGGCGGCCUUCUGGACUGACACUGACGCUGAGGUGCGAAAGCGUGGGUAGCAAACAGGAUUAGAUACCCGAGUAGUC
rnacentral:rRNA from 1 species